CCCUUAGAUGUUCUGGGCCGCACGCGCGCUACACUGACGAAUGCAACGAGCUUAUAACCUUGGCCGAAAGGUCUGGGUAAUCUCCAAAUUUCGUCGUGAUGGGGAUAGAUUAUUGCAAUUAUUAAUCUUCAACGAGGAAUGCCUAGUAAGCGCAAGUAAUCAGCUUGCGUUGAUUACGUCCCUGCCCUUUGUACACACCGCCCGUCGCUCCUACCGAUUGAAUGGUCCGGUGAAGCGUUCGGACCGUGGCCUUUGGACGGUUCGCCGUCUGUUGGCUGCGGGAAGUUCGUUAAACCUUAUCAUUUAGAGGAAGGAGAANUCGUANCA
rnacentral:rRNA from 1 species